rnacentral:rRNA from 1 species
CCUACGGGAGGCAGCAGUGGGGAAUAUUGCACAAUGGGCGAAAGCCUGAUGCAGCAACGCCGCGUGAGCGAUGAAGGCCUUCGGGUCGUAAAGCUCUGUCCUGAAGGAAGAUAAUGACGGUACUUGAGGAGGGAGCCCCGGCUACCUACGUGCCAGCAGCCGCGGUAAUACGUAGGGGGCUAGCGUGAUCCGGAAUUACUGGGCGUAAUGGGUGCGUAGGUGGUUUUUUAAGUCAGAGGUGAAAGGCUAGGGCCAAACCGUAGUAAGCCUUUGAAACUGGGAACCUUGAGUGCAGGAGAGGAGAGUGGAAUUCAUAGUGUAGCGGUGAAAUGCGUAGAUAUUAGGAGGAACACCAGUCGCGAAGGCGGCUCUCCGGACUGCAACUGACACUGAGGCACGAAAGUGUGGGGAGCAAACAGGAUUAGAUACCCGAGUAGUC